CCUCUGUAUAAUUUUCAUACUCAACUUUAAUAGUCUGUCUUAUUUAGAAUUUUUUUUAUAGAUUAGUAUUUUUAUUGUUAUGAGAUGUUAAAAUAUGAAUAGUAGUUUAUAUGUGACUUAUGUUUUUUAAAAAAAAUUUAAAAAAAAUAAAUAAGAAGAACGGUCAAAAUUAUGCACGAAAAAUGAUAGCUGCAUUUAAA
rnacentral:pre_miRNA from 1 species